AAAAUUAAAGCACCCAAACGGCUGCAAAGUUAAUAAAGGCACCUCAUAAAGCUGCAAACUGUUAACUAAAAACAUCAAAACCUGUGGAAAAAGGCACCUAAUAAAGCUGCGUACUGGUAACUAAAAACAUCAAAAACCUGUUGGAGAAGGCACCCUAUAAAGGCUGUAAAUCAACACUAAAUCCCCAAAAGCUGUAGAAAAAACUUGUGGAGUACGAAAGAGUCAACAACAUCCAGCCGGCUCAAGAGAUUGAAGACACCCCCUUAGUAGCAGAAGCAAAAAGGAAUACGGAGAAUCAACAGGAGACGGCAUGCUCUAUAAAGUUUUUUUGUAACUUUAGAAAUAAAAAUGAUAGUGUUUAAGUGAAAAAAAAACUAAAAACAUUGAUAAAAACAAUUUCCCUAUUAUUAAUUUUGAAAAGUUAAAACAAAACAGACGACAUGCUCUAAAAAGUUUUAUUGUAGGUUUAGAAAUAAAAAGUGAUAGUGUUUAAGUGAAAAAAAAACCCAAAAACUAAAAACAUUGAUAAAACAAUUUUUCUAUUAUCAAUUUUGAAAAUUU